GAUGAACGCUGGCGGCGUGCCUAAUACAUGCAAGUCGAGCGAACAGACGAGGAGCUUGCUCCUCUGACGUUAGCGGCGGACGGGUGAGUAACACGUGGAUAACCUACCUAUAAGACUGGGAUAACUUCGGGAAACCGGAGCUAAUACCGGAUAAUAUAUUGAACCGCAUGGUUCAAUAGUGAAAGACGGUUUUGCUGUCACUUAUAGAUGGAUCCGCGCCGCAUUAGCUAGUUGGUAAGGUAACGGCUUACCAAGGCAACGAUGCGUAGCCGACCUGAGAGGGUGAUCGGCCACACUGGAACUGAGACACGGUCCAGACUCCUACGGGAGGCAGCAGUAGGGAAUCUUCCGCAAUGGGCGAAAGCCUGACGGUGCAACGCCGCGUGAGUGAUGAAGGUCUUCGGAUCGUAAAACUCUGUUAUUAGGGAAGAACAAAUGUGUAAGUGACUAUGCACGUCUUGACGGUACCUAAUCAGAAAGCCACGGCUAACUACGUG
rnacentral:rRNA from 1 species